GACGAACGCUGGCGGCGUGCUUAACACAUGCAAGUCGAGCGGUAAGGCCCUUUCGGGGGUACGACGAGCGGCGAACGGGUGAGUAACACGUGGGUGACCUGCCCUUAGCUCUGGGAGUAAGCCUGGGAAACUGGGUCUAAUACCGGAUAUGACUCCAUGACGCAUGUUGUGGGGUGGAAAGCCUUGUGCGGCUAGGGAUGGGCCCGCGGCCUAUCAGCUUGUUGGUGGGGUGAUGGCCACCAAGGCGACGACGGUAGCCGGCCUGAGAGGGCGACCGGCCGACACUGGGACUGAGACACGGCCCA
rnacentral:rRNA from 1 species